GGUCUUGUGGCCCAAUGGUCAAGGCGCCUGACUACGAAACUUGGUUCCCAAGUUGAUAUCAGGAGAUUGCAGGUUCGAAUCCUGCCAAGAUCA